GCGAGGGUGCUUGGUGAACAGAUGGUCACGACUCUGGGUCUGUGGAAAUCUGCAGAUGCAGGUGGACGAGGCCUCAGGACCCGCCGGGUUUAAAGUGACCCAGGUGGGCGGCCGAAGCACUGGGUCUUCUCUACUGGGAGGUGGACAGUUCCAGCGGCCAGGGAGGGCUGAUGAGAUCUCUCUCCACACACAUACUCAAGUCCCAGUGGCCAGGAAAUAUUUCUUCCAAGAAACUAAAUUUAGUAAAGAUACAGGCAGAGGGAUACUUGAUACACACAGAAGAGAUGAUGAUGUGAAGAUGGAGCAGAGAGAGAUUUGAAGAUGCUGGCCUUGAAGACUGGAGUCGUGUGAUCACGAGCCAAGCAAUUCCGGUAACCAUUAGAAGCUGCAGGAGAAGUAAUGUUGACAGUUCCUGUCAUAAGGCAAAUGGAUUUCAACCCCAGUUGAACUUUUUCCUGCUGAGUGUUUCAAAAUAAGGAUGCUCUCAUUUGCAGCCCUGUCUUGCACAGUUAAAGCAGCUGCCUGCUAGCCUGGAUACCAGGAAAGGACAAAAGGAAUCAAACAGGCAGAACAUCUGAUAUGUCCUUCUUCAUCAGUCUGAGGGGCGCGUUUCAACAUCUCUGAAGUAGGGAUAGCCCUUAUCACCCAUGGGGUCAUCUAAGUUUUCGUGGCCUGCUUGUGUGUGGACAUCAGAAGUACUGGCCUCACAGUUUGCUGAGUGGAGAUCAGCAGCUUGGGAAAACAUCCCAGAAGCAACACUGAAACACACUUUUAAUGCCCCAGGAAGCAGGGUUCGGGGGGACGCAUAGUGAAUCAGAUGUGCUUAGUGGCAAACCCAACCCUAACCCCAGUUUCACACAUUUCAGUGAGACUCUAGUAGAAUGAGUGUUGUCAUUGAGGGGUGGUGUGGGCUGAUGGAUUGAGAAAGUUCUCCCCCAAAAGGUGACACUUGAAUGGGGUCAUGAUGGAGAGGAAUUCCCCAGGCAGAGGACUGUUGGCGGCAGAGAAGGUAAACUGACCCUCAAG